rnacentral:lncRNA from 1 species
UUUUUUUUUUUUUUUUGGUCUUUUUUUGUCUUUGUUGUUAUUGUUGUUGUUGCUAUUUCUUGGGCCGCUCCCAUGGCAUAUGGAGGUUCCCAGGCUAGGGGUUGAAUCGGAGCUGUAGCCACCGGCCUACGCCAGAGCCACAGCAACGCAGGAUCCGAGCCGCGUCUGCAACCUACACCACAGCUCACAGCAACGCCGGAUCGUUAACCCACUGAGCAAGGUCAGGGACCGAACCCGCAGCCUCAUGGUUCCUAGUCGGAUUCGUUAACCACUGCGCCACAACAGGAACUCCUUUUUCUAUUUCUUUAAUCUCUUCUUUGUUCCUUCUUUCUUUUGGAUUCAUCAACUAUUUUUAAUUCCAUUUUAUUAGCCUUUGAGCUAUAUGUUCAUGCUUUAUUAAAAAAAUUCAUUUUUAUAUUUUGUCUCUUUGGCUGCCCACAGCAUAUGCAGUUCCUGAGCCAGGGAUCAGAUCCGAGCCACAGUUGCAACCUAAGCCACAGCUGUGGCAACACUGGAUCCUUAACCCACUGUGCCGGGCUGGGGAUGGAACCUGCGUCCUAGGGCUCCCAAGAUGCGGAUCCUGUUGCACCACAGCGGGAACUCCUCCUGCUUUAUUUGUUAAUGGUUGCCCUAGAGGUUCCGUCUUACAUUCUUGAAGCCUCGUGACUUCUUGAACAAGGUAAGCCCAUCUCGUCACCCAUUUGGCUUAUUUUUCCCUUUAUUUCGUUUACUAUAUUAAUAGUUCUCUUAAAGUCCUGUUUGCUGACUCCAGUGUACAGAUUAUCUAUGAAUCUGCUUCUAUGGUCAGCGUCCGUCUCGCUUGCCAAUCCUUUUUUCUGGACACCUUCCGUGUCUGGUACGCUUCGAUUGUACUCCAGAUCUUUGCGCCAAAGGGCUGCCGAGGUCUUGUGACAGGGGCGCGGUCCUCUCCUCUGCAGGUGGGACGAGAAGCUGGAUGCUUCGCUGCGGUUAGACGCUGGGCUGGAUGUGGGCUCAAGGCCCUGAGAGCCGCGAGGUGUGGUGCCCCUGGGGACUUGGUUCUGGCGCCUCAGCCCUGCGGAGCUCGGGGACAUUCCGCUCCCUUCAGGUAGCUUCAGCCUUGCUCUUCCGUUUCUGCUCACGCGGCUGCACGAUGUGGAAAAUGUCUGGAGAGGCUGAUGUGCCUCGUGUCUGCGCAGACACGUUUUCCGCAGAAGGACGUCGUGCCAGGAGCUACGCGCGGUUUCGCCUUCGGGCUGACUUUUGCGGCCUCUCUCGCAGCCCUAGAAAUUAGCCAACGCAGCCCUAGAAAUUAGCCAACGUCUCCGUUCGCUCCCCGGACCUUGGGAUGGCUGGCAGCUCUGCUGGCUCUUCUUGAUCCCAGUAGAGCCUGUCCUCUGGGUCGUGCCCGAUGACCAGCCCGCAUUCAGAACUGGCUGAUUUCCCGGCGGAACGAAGCACAGCAAUCGACGCUCAGCUUCUCUCGGAAGAGCUUCCCUCUCUAGAAUUUUUUCACCUGUCCUCGCUGCUUCCAGAGUUCUCCGAGGUCAGUGCAUGUGUGUACACACACGCACACACCUAAAACCUGUGACAGCACACGCACGAGGUGAAAUUUCCUGACGUCUUUUAACCUCUGGGUCUGGCCACUGGCUUUUCCAGGGGCCACAGUGGAGUGUGGACCUUCCACCCCCACGUCCCCUCUGGAAGCAGAAAUGUCACUCUCUGGGGCUUUACGCACCAUCGCACCCCCUCGUGUCGCAGAGGCUGACCGUGUGGUUUUCAGUCCUGGCUGCACAGUCCCGGGUGCAGGGAGAGCACAGAGGAGGCUGCUGUUUCGUGGUCGCCCCCGGAGGGCAGAUCGACUCUCUGUCCCCGGUUGGCUCAGGACAGCAGGAUUGAUGACACCACACGGGCAGGACAGGGCUGCUCACGUCGUGAGACUCUGGGUGCGGGAGGCGGGCACCCAGCUGCCCUGGGGUGGCUCCGGUAGAGGGCGGGGCAUGUGCUUUGGUUUUGUGAUGCCUGGGGGUGGUCGUCCCAUGAGCAGACUGGGGCUGCUGUGAGCCUGAACCCAGGGGCGUCUGGAAAGUGCUCAGUCCCUUGCCAGAUCCACACGGACUCACUUAGCGAUGAUCUCGCUGUGGUCUGACUGCUUCCGCAAAGACGAUGCUUAGCGGAGCCCUGAGCCAGGGCUGGUGCAGGCGCCCCCAGCCGGCCACCCCGGGUCUCAGCGCGCAGGGCUGCUUUCCCAUUCACAGCGUGGCCUGCAAGGAAGGCGCUGUUAGCAGCCCAUUUCACAGGUAUGGCCACGGAGGUUCUGGGAGGAAAAGUGAUUUGCUCAAGGCUGCUCAGCCUGUUGCCUGUAGAGCUCACACGAGGCGUCUGGGGGAUGGUGAGCAGUCCUCUGCCGAGGACCCCGCGGGCAGCUUCGACAGGCGGGCUCUUAGCAGGUCCAGGCACCAGUGUGGCCACAGUUAUUCGGACGCACCCCCCUCACACCCCCCCAGAGGGCCGUAAGCAGAUUAGACCAACACAGCAAUGCGCUUCUGGGGUGGGUAGCUUUAUUAGAUGCUUAAAGGACAGAGAAAUCUGAGCAACCAGUGACUAAGAAGCACUGCUCCGAUGUCUUCACUGGAGCAGGUGCCAUCUGGGCGUGGCCGGGGUGCACCUUUGCUGCAGGUGGCUGGGGAAGGGCUCGCGAUGCUGGGAGGGGGCCCUGGAAGUCCUGGAUACACGUGCCCAUAGCAUUUCAGGAGGUCGAAGAGAAAUGGUCACACUUUGCAGGAGAGAGCAUGGCAAACAGGGAAGGGGGAGGGGAGGAGAGCCCAGCUCAGGGCUGCCGGGCAAUGCAGACGGGGGCUGAGCCGGAGCCCAAGACUCUUGACCAGGGAUGUCACUGGCUUGGGUAAGAGCCUCUGCCAAAGCCAAGUCAGAUCUUGCGCUGGCAGCAAAUGGGGACACAGCAGCUGGCCUGGGAGCAGCAGGGUUGGCAGCAGCUAGACUGGCAGCAGCUGGGUUUGCAGCAGCCACAAGAACCACAGCUGGAGCAGGCACAGGCUGGCACACAGCAGCACACGGGCCUGCAGCAGCUGGACCGGGAGCAGCCGCCACAGGAGCCACAGCCCCCCUUGGAGCCCCCACAUGAGCCACAGCCCCCCUUGGAGCCUCCAUAGGAGCCACAGCCCCCUUUGCCACAGCCGGAGCAGGCACAAGCUGGCACACAGCAGCACACAGGCUUGCAGCAGCUGGACUGGGAGCAGCCGCCACAGGAGCCACAGCCCCCCUUGGAGCCCCCACAGGAGCCACACCCCCUUUGGCACAGCUGGAGCAGGCACAGGCUGGCACACAGCAGCACACGGGCUUGCAGCAGCUGGACUGGGAGCAGCCAUAGGAGCCACAGCCCCCCUUGGAGCCCCCACAGGAGCCACAGCCCCCUUUGCCACAGCUGGAGCAGGCACAGGCUGGCACACAGCAGCACACAGGCACACAGCCGCUGGAGCCACAGCCCCCACAGCUGGAGCCACAGCCUCCGGAACAGCCAUAGCAGCCCAUGGUUCUGGCGAGUGGAGAGUGGAGUAAGUCAGAGGAGCAGGUGCAGAGAGAGGGGAGGGCUCAGGUGUGGCGCCUCCUGGGCCGGGGGCCUCUAUAUACCUGCCAGGGUCAGGUGAGACCUGGGCACACGGUCACUUCCUGGUUCCUGUUUGUGCCACAUUUAGGACUUCUUGCUUCCUGUUUUCCUCUGUGUAUCAGCCCCCGAGGUUAGGUCCCCGUGACAGGUCAUUAGCUGUCACUGGUCAGUCUGUGUCCAGACUUGCGGGGCACCCAUGAGGGUCCGGCCCAUUCCCGAGUCUCGCUGAUGGAGCAGUGACGUAUGUUAGCUGUGCAAGGGCCGUAGGCAGCGAUACAGGUGCUGCGCGGGGCUCUGUCCUUCGCUGAAGGCACAGCGGCACUUCUCUGCUUACCUGCUGAUGGACGUUUUGUUUCUUUUUGUUGCUACGUCAAACCCUGCUCUGCUCCCGCCCAAGCUCCCACAUGUUGGGGUGGGGCCAGCAGGUGUCUUGCAUGCUUCACCCCCAGUAGCUGUGGCCAAGUGGCCCUCCAAAGCCUGGCCCAGCCAGCGCUCGCCCAGACUUGUCAUUGUCCACUUAAAUCCGUGCCCCUCCGACGAAGCAGCGUAUGAUCGCCGUUUAAUCUCGCAUUUUCCUGGUUGCCUGUGGCACUGCACACAAUCUGUUUUGUUCGUUUCCCCUUCGUAUCCCUCGCCCACAUUUUUUCUGGCCGCGCUUGCGGCCUGUGGAAGUUCCAGGGCCCUGGAUUGAACCUAUGCCGCAGCAGAGACCUGAGCCACGGCAGUGACCGUGCUGGAUCCUUGACGUGCCGAGCUGCCCAGGACCUCUUCCUUUGCCCUCUUAAUGUGGCUGCUCAUUAUUUUGUUGAUAUCUGACGUUGUCUGCAUUUUCUGAAUUCCACGCGUGGCGGUGGUGUUUUUCCCCGUCCGGGGCUUUUCUUUUUACUCUUACUCCCCCUUGUGGUGAUUUCUGAUAUUCCGCGUCUUAAAAUUUGCAGGUAGUGAAAUGUGUUAAGCUUGGAGCUCCGGUCGUGGCUCAGUGGAAACGCAUCUGACGGGCAUCCAUGAGGUUGCAGGCUCGAUCCCUGGGCUCGCUCUGUGGGUUAAGGAUCUGGCGUUGCCAUGAGCUGUGGUGUAGGUGGCAGAUACAGCUUGGAUCUGGCGUGUCUGUGGCUGUGGUGUAGGCUGGCGGCGACAGCUCCGAUUGGACCCCUAGCCUGGGCACCUCCAUAUGCCGUGGGUGCAGCCCUAAAAAGCAAAAAANAAAAAAAAAAAAAAAAAAAAA